AGAAAUAAGAGCUUCAAGAGCAAAAAUUUGUCAACAUUUUAAGAUGUUCUGACUUUGUUUUCAACACAUAACUGAGAAAGUCCCAGGAAGCUGACCCAUCCAAGUCAAUCAUCUCUGAAGAGUUGCAGACACACUAAGUACUAGAGUAAACCUUUCUUCUAUGUGAGCCAAAAAAAGAGAAAAACAACCUGCCAAACACCAGUAAAGAGAUGACUAUCAUCGUAUGGGAAUUUGAAGAGCUUCUAUAUGGCACAUUCAUGAUCCAAAUGGGAGAGGAUCAGCCCUCAUAAUGUCUCAGAAGGCCUUUUAACUGAGUAACAAGAAGGGGAAGUUAUAAUAGCUUGUCAUCUGUGCUUGCACAUUAGACUUCCAGGUAGUUAAUGUAGACAAAUUCAAAGCAAACAUGCAGGUAGUUCUUUGAAAAGCCCCCAAAUCAUGUUUAGAAGCUCUGACCAAUGCAAUAAAAAGGAAGUUAUUCUAUAUUCAGUUUCUCCAGCCCAUCGAUGAUCAAUCUUUC
rnacentral:lncRNA from 1 species